CAACUACUCCCUCUGUCCCAAAUUUCUUGUCUUAGAUUUGUCUAUAUACGGAUGUAUCUAAUACUAAAAUGUGACUUGAUACAUCCGUAUCUAGACAAAUCUAAGACAAGAAUUUUGGGAUGGAGGGAGUACUUU
rnacentral:pre_miRNA from 1 species